rnacentral:rRNA from 1 species
GAGUUUGAUCUUGGCUCAGAUUGAACGCUGGCGGCAUGCCUUACACAUGCAAGUCGAACGGCAGCACGGGAGCUUGCUCCUGGUGGCGAGUGGCGAACGGGUGAGUAAUGCAUCGGAACGUAUCCUGGAGUGGGGGAUAACGUAGCGAAAGUUACGCUAAUACCGCAUAUUCUGUGAGCAGGAAAGCGGGGGACCUUCGGGCCUCGCGCUCUUGGAGCGGCCGAUGUCGGAUUAGCUAGUUGGUGAGGUAAAGGCGUCACCAAGGCGACGAUCCGUAGCAGGUCUGAGAGGAUGAUCUGCCACACUGGAACUGAGACACGGUCCAGACUCCUACGGGAGGCAGCAGUGGGGAAUUUUGGACAAUGGGGGCAACCCUGAUCCAGCCAUGCCGCGUGAGUGAAGUAAGGCC